rnacentral:rRNA from 1 species
AUUGAACGCUGGCGGCAGGCCUAACACAUGCAAGUCGAGCGAGCGGCGGACGGGUGAGAAAUGUAUGGGGACUGCCCGAUAGCGGGGGAUACCUACUGGAAACGGAAGCUAAUACAGCAUACUAUCGGAUAACCCAUAUGGGUUUAGCUAGUAGGUGAGGUAAUGGCGCACCUAGGCGACGAUCCCUAGCUGGUCUGAGAGGAUGAUCAGCCACACUGGGACUGAGACACGGCCCAGAAUCCAAGGGAGGCAGCAGUGGGGAAUAUUGCACAAUGGGCGCAAGCCUGAUGCAGCCAUGCCGCGUGUAUGAAGAAGGCCCUAGGGUUGUAAAGUACUUUCAGUCGGGAUGCGUUACCGACAGAAGAAGCACCGGCUAACUCCGUGCCAGCAGCCGCGGUAAUAC